rnacentral:rRNA from 1 species
GGGGAUAACGUUUGGAAACGAACGCUAAUACCGCAUGAUAUUAUUGGGCAGCAUUGCCUGAUAAUCAAAGGAGCAAUCCGCUGAAAGAUGGGCUCGCGUCCGAUUAGGUAGUUGGCGGGGUAACGGCCCACCAAGCCGACGAUCGGUAGCCGGACUGAGAGGUUGAACGGCCACAUUGGGACUGAGACACGGCCCAGACUCCUACGGGAGGCAGCAGUGAGGGAUAUUGGUCAAUGGGGGAAACCCUGAACCAGCAACGCCGCGUGAGGGAAGACGGUUUUCGGAUUGUAAACCUCUGUCCUCUGUGAAGAUGAUGACGGUAGCAGAGGAGGAAGCUCCGGCUAACUACGUGCCAGCAGCCGCGGUAAUACGUAGGGAGCAAGCGUUGUCCGGAUUUACUGGGUGUAAAGGGUGCGUAGGCGGCUUUGCAAGUCAGAAGUGAAAUCUAUGGGCUUAACCCAUAAACUGCUUUUGAAACUGCAGGGCUUGAGUGAAGUAGAGGUAGGCGGAAUUCCCGGUGUAGCGGUGAAAUGCGUAGAGAUCGGGAGGAACACCAGUGGCGAAGGCGGCCUACUGGGCUUUAACUGACGCUGAGGCACGAAAGCGUGGGUAGCAAACAGGAUUAGAUACCCUGGUAGUCCACGCUGUAAACGAUGAUUACUAGGUGUGGGUGGACUGACCCCAUCCGUGCCGGAG